AAGGUACUCCCUCCGUCCGGAAAUACUUGUCCUAGAAAUGUAUAAAUGGAUGUACAUUUGUAGGACAGGUAUUUCCGGACGGAGGGAAUAGUAA
rnacentral:pre_miRNA from 1 species